AAGUUCGAAGUUCGUCGAACUUCUGACUUCAGAAUUCGAAAGUUCGAAACUUUUCGAAUUUU
rnacentral:tRNA from 1 species